rnacentral:rRNA from 1 species
GACGAACGCUGGCGGCGUGCUUAACACAUGCAAGUCGAACGGAAAGGCCCUGCUUUUGUGGGGUGCUCGAGUGGCGAACGGGUGAGUAACACGUGAGUAACCUGCCCUUGACUUUGGGAUAACUUCAGGAAACUGGGGCUAAUACCGGAUAGGAGCUCCUGCUGCAUGGUGGGGGUUGGAAAGUUUCGGCGGUUGGGGAUGGACUCGCGGCUUAUCAGCUUGUUGGUGGGGUAGUGGCUUACCAAGGCUUUGACGGGUAGCCGGCCUGAGAGGGUGACCGGCCACAUUGGGACUGAGAUACGGCCCAGACUCCUACGGGAGGCAGCAGUGGGGAAUAUUGCACAAUGGGCGGAAGCCUGAUGCAGCAACGCCGCGUGCGGGAUGACGGCCUUCGGGUUGUAAACCGCUUUCGCCUGUGACGAAGCGCGAGUGACGGUAAUGGGUAAAGAAGCACCGGCUAACCACGUG